GUUCUUGUAGUUGAAUAACAACGGUGGUUUUUCAAGUCAUUGGUUUUGGUUAAAGUCCAAGCAGGAAUU
rnacentral:tRNA from 1 species